UACGUAGGGUGCAAGCGUUAAUCGGAAUUACUGGGCGUAAAGCGUGCGCAGGCGGUUGUGCAAGACCGAUGUGAAAUCCCCGGGCUUAACCUGGGAAUGGCAUUGGUGACUGCAUGGCUAGAGUGUGUCAGAGGGGGGGUAGAAUUCCACGUGUAGCAGUGAAAUGCGUAGAGAUGUGGAGGAAUACCGAUGGCGAAGGCAGCCCCCCUGGGAUAACACUGACGCUCAUGCACGAAAGCGUGGGGGAGCAAAACAGGG
rnacentral:rRNA from 1 species